CCACAUUUCGCCCCAAAUCAUCCCCUCCAGGGGAAGGAAAUGGCUGCAAUGGAGCUGGCUCAGGGCUGCCAACAGGGGAGUUUGCAGGGGGAGGUGGAAGGGGGAGGCACCGUGUCCCCUGUGCUCCCCAGGUAAGAAUGCCGAGCGAGGCCGAGACAGCAGCAGCCAUGAGCCAAGAAGCAGAGGACACACCGAGGAUGAGAGCAUGCAGCAGCUGCGGCGAAGGCAGGUCUACGUGAUUGGGGAUUCCAUACUGAGAAGGUUGGACAGGCCUGUGACC